rnacentral:rRNA from 1 species
AGAGUUUGAUCAUGGCUCAGAUUGAACGCUGGCGGCAGGCCUAACACAUGCAAGUCGAACGGUAACAGGAUGUGCUUGCACAUCGCUGACGAGUGGCGGACGGGUGAGUAAUGCUUGGGAACUUGCCUUUGCGAGGGGGAUAACAGUUGGAAACGACUGCUAAUACCGCAUAAUGUCUUCGGACCAAACGGGGCUUCGGCUCCGGCGCAAAGAGAGGCCCAAGUGAGAUUAGCUAGUUGGUAAGGUAACGGCUUACCAAGGCGACGAUCUCUAGCUGUUCUGAGAGGAAGAUCAGCCACACUGGGACUGAGACACGGCCCAGACUCCUACGGGAGGCAGCAGUGGGGAAUAUUGCACAAUGGGGGAAACCCUGAUGCAGCCAUGCCGCGUGUGUGAAGAAGGCCUUCGGGUUGUAAAGCACUUUCAGUUGUGAGGAAAAGUUAGUAGUUAAUACCUGCUAGCCGUGACGUUAACAACAGAAGAAGCACCGGCUAACUCCGUGCCAGCAGCCGCGGUAAUACGGAGGGUGCGAGCGUUAAUCGGAAUUACUGGGCGUAAAGCGCACGCAGGCGGUUUGUUAAGCUAGAUGUGAAAGCCCCGGGCUCAACCUGGGAUGGUCAUUUAGAACUGGCAGACUAGAGUCUUGGAGAGGGGAGUGGAAUUCCAGGUGUAGCGGUGAAAUGCGUAGAUAUCUGGAGGAACAUCAGUGGCGAAGGCGACUCCCUGGCCAAAGACUGACGCUCAUGUGCGAAAGU